AUUGAACGCUGGCGGCAGGCCUAACACAUGCAAGUCGAGCGAGCGGCGGACGGGUGAGUACUGUCUGGGGAUCUGCCCGAUAGAGGGGGAUCACUACUGGAAACGGUGGCUAAUACCGCAUACUAUCGGCUGAACCCAUAUGGGAUUAGCUAGUUGGUGGGGUAAAGGCUCACCUAGGCGACGAUCUCUAGCUGGUCUGAGAGGAUGAUCAGCCACACUGGGACUGAGACACGGCCCAGACUCCUACGGGAGGCAGCAGUGGGGAAUAUUGCACAAUGGGCGCAAGCCUGAUGCAGCCAUGCCGCGUGUAUGAAGAAGGCCUUAGGGUUGUAAAGUACUUUCAGCGGGGAGGCGUUACCCGCAGAAGAAGCACCGGCUAACUCCGUGCCAGCCGCCGCGGUAAUUC
rnacentral:rRNA from 1 species